GUUGAACGCUGGCGGAAUGCUUUACACAUGCAAGUCGAGCGGCAGCGCGGGGCAACCUGGCAGCGAGCGGCGAACGGGUGAGUAAUACAUCGGAACGUACCCUGUUGUGGGGGAUAACGAAUCGAAAGAUUCGCUAAUACCGCAUACGACCUGAGGGUGAAAGUGGGGGAUCGCAAGACCUCACGCGAUAGGAGCGGCCGAUGUCGGAUUAGCUAGUUGGUGGGGUAAAGGCUCACCAAGGCGACGAUCCGUAGCGGGUCUGAGAGGACGGCCCGCCACACUGGAACUGAGACACGGUCCAGACUCCUACGGGAGGCAGCAGUGGGGAAUUUUGGACAAUGGGGGCAACCCUGAUCCAGCCAUUCCGCGUGAGUGAAGAAGGCCUUCGGGUUGUAAAGCUCUUUCGGCAGGAACGAAACGGUCCUAGUUAAUACCUGGGGCUAAUGACGGUACCUGAAGAAGAAGCACCGGCUAACUACGUGCCAGCAGCCGCCGUAA
rnacentral:rRNA from 1 species